rnacentral:rRNA from 1 species
GGUUAAGCGACUAAGCGUACACGGUGGAUGCCCUGGCAGUCAGAGGCGAUGAAGGGCGUGCUAAUCUGCGAUAAGCGCCGGUAAGGUGAUAUGAACCGUUAUAACCGGCGAUACCCGAAUGGGGAAACCCAGUGUGACUCGUCACACUAUCAUUAACUGAAUCCAUAGGUUAAUGAGGCGAACCGGGGGAACUGAAACAUCUAAGUACCCCGAGGAAAAGAAAUCAACCGAGAUUCCCCCAGUAGCGGCGAGCGAACGGGGAGGAGCCCAGAGCCUGAAUCAGCAUGUGUGUUAGUGGAAGCGUCUGGAAAGGCGCGCGAUACAGGGUGACAGCCCCGUACACAAAAGCGCAUGUGCUGUGAGCUCGAUGAGUAGGGCGGGACACGUGGUAUCCUGUCUGAAUAUGGGGGGACCAUCCUCCAAGGCUAAAUACUCCUGACUGACCGAUAGUGAACCAGUACCGUGAGGGAAAGGCGAAAAGAACCCCGGCGAGGGGAGUGAAAAAGAACCUGAAACCGUGUACGUACAAGCAGUGGGAGCCCCACCACCAAAGCAUUCUCUGGUGUUGAAGGCCCUGCAAAGCAGCAUCGCGGUGGCGGAGCGUCGUUUGCGACGCCCAACACACAAAACAAGCGGUGAAUGCUUUGGGGUGGGGUGACUGCGUACCUUUUGUAUAAUGGGUCAGCGACUUAUAUUCUGUAGCAAGGUUAACCG